UAUUGAUUAUAUGUCCUUUUCAUUAUUUUGUAUUAGAUAUGUGGCAGUGGUAAAAGUAGCGGAUUGUUGCUUGUGUCAGAUCUAACAGUGCUAUAUGAGACACCCCCAUAUUCUUGCCACGCAUG